AAGGUAGCACAAUAAAUAGCCAAUUAAUUGUUGGCGGGUAUGAAUGGAACCACGAGGGUCUUACUGUCUCAAGAGGAAAGCCGAUGAAAUUAUAAUUGUAGUGAAGAUACUACAUAAACAUUGUAAGACGAAAAGACCCUAUCGAGCUUUACUGGAUACCGAUAGCGUUAAUUUAGAAUGAUAGAUACUAAGUAUCCUAAUUCUAAGUUAAUAAUUUUUGUUGGUAGGACAGUUUAGUUGGGGCGACUACCUUUGAAUAAGAAACGAAGGCGAGCUUAUGGUAUUAUUAAAAUCUCAUUAGCCUCACAGUGAGGGGGACACCCCUAGCUGGCACAUAGGAUGUGGGCGAUAGUGACCCGAUAUGAUUAUCCAAAAUAAAUAUCGAAAGCGGAUAAAAGCUACCGUAGGGAUAACAGCGUAAUAUUGUCGGAGAGUUCUUAUCGAGGACAGUGUUUGCGACCUCGAUGUUGAAUUGCGGUGCCCUGGUGCUGUAGAAGGUACCUUAGGUUGGUCUGUUCGACCAUGAAAACCGUACGUGAUCUGA
rnacentral:rRNA from 1 species